AUUGAACGCUGGCGGCAUGCCUUACACAUGCAAGUCGAACGGCAGCACGGGUGCUUGCACCUGGUGGCGAGUGGCGAACGGGUGAGUAAUACAUCGGAACAUGUCCUGUAGUGGGGGAUAGCCCGGCGAAAGCCGGAUUAAUACCGCAUACGAUCUACGGAUGACAGCGGGGGAGCUGCGGGCUUCGCGCUAUAGGGUUUGCCGCUGGCUGAUUAGCUAGUUGGUGGGGUAAAGGCCUACCAAGGCGACGAUCAGGAGCUGUUCUGAGAGGACGACCAGCCACACUGGGACUGAGCCACGGCCCAGACUCCUGCGGGAGGCAGCAGUGGGGAAUUUUGGACAAUGGGCGAAAGCCUGAUCCAGCAAUGCCGCGUGUGUGAAGAAGGCCUUCGGGUUGUAAAGCACUUUUGUCCGGAAAGAAAUCCUUGGCUCUAAUACAGUCGGGGGAUGACGGUACCGGAAGAAUAAGCACCGGCUAACUACGUG
rnacentral:rRNA from 1 species